rnacentral:rRNA from 1 species
UACGUAGGCAGCAAGCGUUGUUCGGAGUUACUGGGCGUAAAGAGUGCGUAGGCGGUCCUGUAAGUUUGGUGUGAAAUCUCCCGGCUCAACUGGGAGGGUGCGCCGAAGACUGCAGGGCUUGAGUAUGGGAGAGGUAAGCGGAAUUCCUGGUGUAGCGGUGAAAUGCGUAGAUAUCAGGAGGAACACCGGUGGCGAAGGCGGGUCUCUGGGCCGAUACUGACGCUGGAGGAGCGAAAGCGUGGGGAGCGAACAGG